UACGUAGGGCGCAAGCGUUGUCCGGAAUUAUUGGGCGUAAAGAGCUCGUAGGCGGCUUGUCGCGUCGGUUGUGAAAGCCCGGGGCUUAACUCCGGGUCUGCAGUCGAUACGGGCAGGCUAGAGUUCGGUAGGGGAGAUCGGAAUUCCUGGUGUAGCGGUGAAAUGCGCAGAUAUCGGGAAGAACACCCGUGGCGAAGGCGGCUCUCUGGGACGGUACUGACGCUGAGACGCGAAAGCGUGGGGAGCGAACAGG
rnacentral:rRNA from 1 species